AUCUAACUCUUCGAGAGAUCAAUUUUUUUUCUUUCAAUUGGAAUCGAAGUUACACUUCAAUGGGGAUUCUUGACAGUUGAUAGAAAAGGGGCCCUUUUAUUUGGGGAUUUUAGUUUUCAGAUUAGGGUUUUGUUUGCUACAAGUAAUGCGAGCCCGAGAUUGUCUGAAAUGAGAGAAUUUUUCUGGUAUGCUCCAUUUUUGGGUAAUGAUUAGUUUAUGGAUUUGUGAAAAAUGGAGUUAUAGCUUUAGAUCUCGUUGAAGGUAAGUCGUAAUCAUGUGAAAGAGAAUUUUAGGUAAAUUUACGAGCCAGCUAGAUAACUUCCCAUGGCCGAUAAAUAUGAGAGUAUCUUAAAUGAGCAUCUCAAUGUGCCUGUGAAAAAUUGAAGCUGGCUUCAACUUAGGAUGAGAGCGAACAUUUAAGAUGGAUUAGACAGUGAAUGCCAAUCAAUUGUGUUGGUUUUCAAGCAUGGAUUGAGGAUAUCAAAGGUAGUGGUAGAAGACGUGGAAAGAGGAAAUGACCCUUAAUAGCGUUUGAUGGAGAAGAGCUACUCAUGUUGCUGAGCCUGAAUCCAUGUUGUGGAUCGACGUCGUCUUGUUUGGCUCAGAAGCCUGCUCUAACAGUCUGAUCUCCUUCAACUGUGCACCACCAUGAACACAAAGGGGAACCCACUGAUCUACCCUCCACAAGUCACUCACAAAGAGGAAAGGGGAUUCGCACAAAUGGCUGGACGGGAAGAGAGGAUCGCGCAAAGGGUGAGAGCACAAAGCUCAAGUUCUCUUCCUCCUUCUUCCUUCUGAGCUACUACCAACCCUUCUCCUUAAAUAGAGAAGGGGGCAACCGACACAGGAGAAUCGCUAGGGCAUCGAAGGGGUAAGAGCCGACCUACAGGGGAUGGGCGAUGGGACUCCAAGCGGCAGCAGCGAAGGACGCUGGGAUAGAGUAGGGGCGGAAAGACUUAGGGUCUGAGAACCGGGGGCUAGGGCAAAUCAGUGGGGAGCUGGGCCACUAGGCAAGCAAGUCUUCAGCCGAAAAAAGCAAGAUUCUCGAGAUGGAGCUUUGUUUCAUUGAAUGUACUUCAUCUUUUCUUCUUUUCUUGUGCCAUUCAUAUUCAUACAUGGUGAUUGCAAACUGAGUGCUCAUUUAUUACGAAUUAUGUCCAAGCAGCUAUGUACUUUUUUCAUAAAUUUCACUUAUUCGUUAUCAUCGUAUUUCAA